CCCCGCCUCGGCGAUGGAUUUCCGCCUGGCGUCAUGCCGAACCGCUCCUCGGGAAGGAGCCGAUGAUUCCUACUUUGAC
rnacentral:ncRNA from 2 species